rnacentral:rRNA from 1 species
GACGAACGCUGGCGGCGUGCUUAACACAUGCAAGUCGAACGGAAAGGCCCUGCUUUUGUGGGGUGCUCGAGUGGCGAACGGGUGAGUAACACGUGAGUAACCUGCCCUUGACUUUGGGAUAACUUCAGGAAACUGGGGCUAAUACCGGAUAGGAGCUCCUGCUGCAUGGUGGGGGUUGGAAAGUUUCGGCGGUUGGGGAUGGACUCGCGGCUUAUCAGCUUGUUGGUGGAGUAGUGGCUUACCAAGGCUUCGACGGGUAGCCGGCCUGAGAGGGUGACCGGCCACAUUGGGACUGAGAUACGGCCCAGACUCCUACGGGAGGCAGCAGUGGGGAAUAUUGCACAAUGGGCGGAAGCCUGAUGCAGCAACGCCGCGUGCGGGAUGACGGCCUUCGGGUUGUAAACCGCUUUCGCCUGUGACGAAGCGUGAGUGACGGUAAUGGGUAAAGAAGCACCGGCUAACUACGUG